UCUGCAAAUUUGGAAAGGAAUUAACGAGCUGCCAAAAUUUGGUUCAUUGAUGUGAUUGCGAAGGAUAUAUAUACGUAAGUAUAGUACACAAUACGUACAUUCGAUAUGAAGGAUGAUGAUGGACUGCCAGUAUCAACGCCCACAUCGUCCUCGCAUUCUGGAAUUUCCAAGAAGGACCACUCUUCGGAUGCUUCUAGCCUGUUUGGGCGUGGCCGCUACAAGUUUUGGGCACUCGCAGCCAUUUUGCUGCUGUCAUUUUGGUCAAUGCUUACCGGCACUGUCUCCCUCCGAUGGUCGGCCGGCAAUCUCAACCGCAUUGGUGAGGAAUUCAGCUCCCCUGCUGCCGAAGAAGAUCUCGACGCCCUCGAUCUUGAGGAGAGGGAGAAAUUGGUGAGGCAAAUGUGGGAAGUGUACAUCAACAACCAGCGGAACCGUUUGACAAGAUUUUGGCAGGACGCUUUCGCGGCUGCCUAUGAGGAUUUGACCAGCGAGGAGACUGAAGUUAGAGAAACUGCCACCUCUGAGAUUGCAAUGAUGUCUGUUCGCUAUCUUCCAUUACUACAAUCUUCAGCUUGAGUACGUCCAAGUUCUAAACAAGCAGCACCGAGCAACGAGCAGGAUGAAAUCACAAGCAUGGACUACACGAUGCCGACGAACUGCUACACAUUGUACCCUGCAUUACUUGGAACCAAGAGAAGCUUUCGUGUUCGAUUAGAGUAGUGGCAUGAAGAACUCAGCCUUCAAGCCCUUGGCAUUAAACCCGACCUCCUCAAUCUUCCACGACUCCUGCAGCUCCCUCUUAUGGUUCGCCGACUGCUCGCCAUAUCUGAAAACGGUAAAAUUGGUCUUGCCGCUGUGGGCGAUGUUAACUCCAUCGACAUACUUGUAGUCCUCGAUUACAGAUUCGGAGCUUGUCUCCCAGAAGACGUCUCCGUCUUCCUUGCUGGUCUUAACCGAAAGCAGUCGAGAAUCCUCGAACUUAACCAGGAGGCCCGAUCUCUGGCUGAAGUAUCCCCAAAUGGUGUGGUGGAUGAUCUCGUAUUUGGGGCCACAUUGCGCCUCCAGCGUCGCCUGGCUCGCGUCCAUCUUCAGGAUGAAGCAAUCCUCGUCGUUGAUGAUCUUCUCGCCGAUGCAGACGGCGUCGAUGAAGAGAUUCGCGGUGGCUCGGGGGUCCAGGCCCUGCAAGAAGCGGCGGAGG